rnacentral:rRNA from 1 species
UACAGGGGGUGCAAGCGUUGUUCGGAAUUACUGGGCGUAAAGCGCGGGCAGGUGGCCCGCUAAGUCUGCGGUGAAAUCCCGGAGCUCAACUCCGGAUAUGCCGCGGAUACUGGCGGCUAGAGACCAGUAGAGGCGAGUGGAAUUCCAGGUGUAGCGGUGGAAUGCGUAGAUAUCUGGAAGAACACCGGUGGCGAAGGCGGCUCGCUGGGCUGGUUCUGACACUCAUCCGCGAAAGCGUGGGGAGCAAACAGGG